CCUACGGGAGGCAGCAGUGGGGAAUAUUGGACAAUGGGCGAAAGCCUGAUCCAGCAAUGCCGCGUGAGUGAUGAAGGCCUUCGGGUCGUAAAGCUCUUUUACCAGGGAUGAUAAUGACAGUACCUGGAGAAUAAGCUCCGGCUAACUCCGUACCAGCAGCCGCGGUAAUACGGAGGGAGCUAGCGUUGUUCGGAAUUACUGGGCGUAAAGAGUACGUAGGCGGUUAUUCAAGUCAGAGGUGAAAGCCCGGGGCUCAACCCCGGAACUGCCUUUGAAACUAGAUAACUAGAGUCUUGGAGAGGUUAGUGGAAUUCCGAGUGUAGAGGUGAAAUUCGUAGAUAUUCGGAAGAACACCAGUGGCGAAGGCGACUAACUGGACAAGUACUGACGCUGAGGUACGAAAGCGUGGGGAGCAAACAGGAUUAGAUACCCUGGUAGUCCACGCCGUAAACGAUGAUAACUAGUUGUUCGGUCACUUGGUGUACUGAGUGACGCGAGACUACGACAUUAAGUUAUUCCGUCCGUCGGGUAGGUACGGUCGUCGAAGAAUUAAACUACAAUAGUAGUUAGUACGGCGUGAGACGUGCCGACGGACGACGACGAGGGAGGUAGG
rnacentral:rRNA from 1 species